rnacentral:rRNA from 1 species
AUUGAACGCUGGCGGCAGGCUUAACACAUGCAAGUCGAGCGGGGGAAGGUAGCUUGCUACCGGACCUAGCGGCGGACGGGUGAGUAAUGCUUAGGAAUCUGCCUAUUAGUGGGGGACAACAUCUCGAAAGGGAUGCUAAUACCGCAUACGUCCUACGAGAGAAAGCGGGGGAUCUUCGGACCUUGCGAUAAUAUAUGAGCCUAAGUCGGAUUAGCUAGUUGGUGGGGUAAAGGCCUACCAAGGCGACGAUCUGUAGCGGGUCUGAGAGGAUGAUCCGCCACACUGGGACUGAGACACGGCCCAGACUCCUACGGGAGGCAGCAGUGGGGAAUAUUGGACAAUGGGGGGAACCCUGAUCCAGCCAUGCCGCGUGUGUGAAGAAGGCCUUAUGGUUGUAAAGCACUUUAAGCGAGGAGGAGGCUACUCUAGUUAAUACCUAGGGAUAGUGGACGUUACUCGCAGAAUAAGCACCGGCUAACUCUGUGCCAGCAGCCGCGGUAAAAC